rnacentral:rRNA from 1 species
CACGUAGGGGCCAAGCGUUGUCCGGAUUCAUUGGGCGUAAAGGGCGCGUAGGUGGCCCGGUCAGUCAGUGGUGAAAGCGCGGGGCUCAACUCCGCGUCGGCCAUUGAUACUGCUGGGCUGGAGCACUGUAGAGGCAGGCGGAAUUCCGGGUGUAGCGGUGGAAUGCGUAGAGAUCCGGAAGAACACCGGUGGCGAAGGCGGCCUGCUGGGCAGUUGCUGGACACUGAGGCGCGACAGCGUGGGGGAGCAAACAGG